UCGGGGAUAGCCUUUCGAAAGAAAGAUUAAUACCCGAUAGCAUAAUGAUUCCGCAUGGUUUCAUUAUUAAAGGAUUCCGGUAAAGGAUGGGGAUGCGUUCCAUUAGGUUGUUGGUGGGGUAACGGCCCACCAAGCCUUCGAUGGAUAGGGGUUCUGAGAGGAAGGUCCCCCACAUUGGAACUGAGACACGGUCCAAACUCCUACGGGAGGCAGCAUG
rnacentral:rRNA from 1 species